rnacentral:rRNA from 1 species
UACGAAGGGGGCUAGCGUUGUUCGGAUUUACUGGGCGUAAAGCGCACGUAGGCGGAUCGUUAAGUCGGGGGUGAAAUCCUGGAGCUCAACUCCAGAACUGCCUUCGAUACUGGCGAUCUUGAGUCCGGAAGAGGUGAGUGGAACUCCUGGUGUAGAGGUGGAAUUCGUAGAUAUUAGGAAGAACACCAGUGGCGAAGGCGGCUCACUGGUCCGGUACUGACGCUGAGGUGCGAAAGCGUGGGGAGCGAACAGG